rnacentral:rRNA from 1 species
GACGAACGCUGGCGGCGUGCUUAACACAUGCAAGUCGAACGGAAAGGCCCUGCUUUUGUGGGGUGCUCGAGUGGCGAACGGGUGAGUAACACGUGAGUAACCUGCCCUUGACUUUGGGAUAACUUCAGGAAACUGGGGCUAAUACCGGAUAGGAGCUCCUGCUGCAUGGUGGGGGUUGGAAAGUUUGGGGGGUGGGGGAUGGACUCGCGGCUUAUCAGCUUGUUGGUGGGGUAGUGGCUUACCAAGGCUUGGACGGGUAGCCGGCCUGAGAGGGUGACCGGCCACAUGGGGACUGGGAUACGGCCCAGACUCCUACGGGAGGCAGCAGUGGGGAAUAUUGCAAAAUGGGCGGAAGCCGGAUGCAGCAACGCCGCGUGCGGGAUGACGGCCUUCGGGUUGUAAACCGCUUUCGCCUGUGACGAAGCGUGAGUGACGGUAAUGGGUAAAGAAGCACCGGCUAACUACGUG